rnacentral:rRNA from 1 species
CCUACGGGGGGCAGCAGUGAGGAAUAUUGGUCAAUGGACGAGAGUCUGAACCAGCCAAGUAGCGUGAAGGAUGACUGCCCUAUGGGUUGUAAACUUCUUUUAUAUGGGAAUAAAAUGUUCCACGUGUGGGAUUUUGUAUGUACCAUAUGAAUAAGGAUCGGCUAACUCCGUGCCAGCAGCCGCGGUAAUACGGAGGAUCCGAGCGUUAUCCGGAUUUAUUGGGUUUAAAGGGAGCGUAGGUGGAUUGUUAAGUCAGGUGUGAAAGUUUGCGGCACAACCGUAAAAUUGCAGUUGAAACUGGCAGUCUUGAGUACAGUAGAGGUGGGCGGAAUUCGUGGUGUAGCGGUGAAAUGCUUAGAUAUCACGAAGAACUACGAUUGCGAAGGCAGUUCACUGGACUGCAACUGACACUGAGGCUCGAAAGUGUGGGUAUCAAACAGGAUUAGAUACCCUUGUAGUC